CCCGCCGGCCCGGGCUGCCGCGUAGCGCCGCGGCGCCCCCGCCCGCCUGGCCUGGGGCCGGCCCCGCAGCCCAGUAUUGCAUCCAGAAGGGAUCCUGGCGGGCGGAGACACAAGUCGGGAGACCUGAUUCUGCCUCUGCCACACCUGAGGCAACUCUCACAGCCUCUCUGGGCCCAAGUUCCCUCAUCUAUAAAUAAAGCGGGACUUCCCUGGUGGUGCAGUGGUUAAGAAUCCGCCUGCCAAUGCAGGGGACACGGGUUCGAGCCCUGGUCCAGGAAGAUACCACAUGCCGCGGAGCAACUAAGCCCGUGCGCCACAACUACCGACCCUGGACCCUACAGCCCACGAGCCACAACUACUGAGCCCGUGAGCCACAACUACUGAAGACCACACGCCUAGAGCCAGUGCUCUGCAAUAAGAGAAGCCACCGCUAUGAGAAGCCUGCUCACUGCACCUAAGAGUAGCCCCCGCUCCCUGCAACUAGAGAAAGCCCGUGCACAGCAACGAAGACCCAACACAGCCAAAAAUAAAUAAAAUAAAAUAAAUUAAUUAAAAAAAAUAAAUAGAGCAGUUCAAGAAAGGACCUUAAAGAGUUGCUCAUCAGAUUUGAAAUUCUGUUCAGUAAAGCGGUUCAAGAAAGGACCUUGGGCUUCCCUGGUGGUGCAGUGGUUGAGAGUCCGCCUGCCGAUGCAGGGGAUACGGGUUCGUGCCCCAGUCCGGGAAGAUACCACAUGCCGCGGAGCGGCUGGGCCCGUGUGCCAUGGCCGCUGGGCCUGUGCGUCCGGAGCCUGUGCUCCGCAACGGGAGAGGCCACAGCAGUGAGAGGCCCGCGUAC